rnacentral:rRNA from 1 species
AAUCAUGGCUCAGGAUGAACGCUAGCUACAGGCUUAACACAUGCAAGUCGAGGGGCAGCAUGGUCUUAGCUUGCUAAGGCCGAUGGCGACCGGCGCACGGGUGAGUAACACGUAUCCAACCUGCCGUCUACUCUUGGACAGCCUUCUGAAAGGAAGAUUAAUACAAGAUGGCAUCAUGAGUCCGCAUGUUCACAUAAUUAAAGGUAUUCCGGUAGACGAUGGGGAUGCG